GCGCAGCCUGAUGCAGCGACGCCGCGUGCGGGAUGGAGGCCUUCGGGUUGUAAACCGCUUUUGUUCAAGGGCAAGGCACGGUUUCGGCCGUGUUGAGUGGAUUGUUCGAAUAAGCACCGGCUAACUACGUGCCAGCAGCCGCGGUAAUACGUAGGGUGCGAGCGUUAUCCGGAUUUAUUGGGCGUAAAGGGCUCGUAGGCGGUUCGUCGCGUCCGGUGUGAAAGUCCAUCGCCUAACGGUGGAUCUGCGCCGGGUACGGGCGGGCUGGAGUGCGGUAGGGGAGACUGGAAUUCCCGGUGUAACGGUGGAAUGUGUAGAUAUCGGGAAGAACACCAAUGGCGAAGGCAGGUCUCUGGGCCGUCACUGACGCUGAGGAGCGAAAGCGUGGGGAGCGAACAGGAUUAGAUACC
rnacentral:rRNA from 1 species